CUCACUUCUCUGCCUUUUGGCUAAGAUCAAGUGUAGUAUCUGUUCUUGGCAUGGGGGGGGGGGGGGUACAUCCUAGCUAAGGGAUGUAUGAUCAGCACCUUCC
rnacentral:snRNA from 1 species